rnacentral:rRNA from 1 species
UGUAAGCGUAUACCAAAGUUGUUGCAGUUAAAACGCUCGUAGUUGGAAUUUGGCAGUUCCGGAUGUGUGCACGUCGUGUGCGCACUUCGCGGGGAUUGCUUUUGUGGUCUUGCGUAGGAUGAGGCACUUUUAUUAGUGAACGUCCUCACGCAACCACUUUUUACUGUGAGAAAAUCAGAGUGCUCAAAGCAGGCAUUUGCCGUGAAUGUAUUAGCAUGGAAUAAUAGAAUAGGACUUGGUUCUAUUUUGUUGGUUUGUUGGGACUGAGUAAUGAUUAAGAGGGACGGUUGGGGGCAUUUGUAUUUCGGUGCUAGAGGUGAAAUUCUUAGAUUACCGAAAGACAAACUGCUGCGAAAGCGUCUGCCAAGGAUGUUUUCAUUGA